CAGCCGCCACGGUAAUCCGUAGGUGGCAAGCGUUGUCCGGAAUUAUUGGGCGUAAAGCGCGCGCAGGUGGUUUAAUAAGUCUGAUGUGAAAGCCCACGGCUCAACCGUGGAGGGUCAUUGGAAACUGUUAAACUUGAGUGCAGGAGAGAAAAGUGGAAUUCCUAGUGUAGCGGUGAAAUGCGUAGAGAUUAGGAGGAACACCAGUGGCGAAGGCGGCUUUUUGGCCUGUAACUGACACUGAGGCGCGAAAGCGUGGGGAGCGAACAGGAUUAGAUACCCCCGUAGUCCCUGUCUCUUAUAC
rnacentral:rRNA from 1 species